ACUGAAGACAAGGAGUGAAUGCCUGUCACCAAGCUGGGCCACCUGGUCAAGGACAUGAAGAUCAAGUGGCUGGAGGAGUUCUACCUCUUCUCCCUGCUCAUCAAGGAAUCUGAGAUCAUUGAUGUCUUCCUUGGGGCAUCUCUCAAGGAUGAAGUUUUGAAGAUUAUGCCGGUGCAAAAGCAAACACAUGCUGGCCAGUGGACCAAGUUCAAGGCAUUUGUUGCCAUCAAGGACUACAAUGGCUACAUAACUCUGUAUGUUAUGUACUCCAAGGAAGUAGCCACUGCAGUCCAAGGGGCCAUUAUCUGGACCAAGCUGUCAUUGUCCCAUUGUAGAGAGGCUACUAGGGGAAUAAGAUCGGCAAACAUCACACUGUCUCUUUCAAGGUGAUCAUCUGCUGCUGUUCUGUUCUGGUGUGUCUUAUUGCUGCCCCCAGGAGCACUGACAUCAUCUUGGCCCCUAUGCUCAAGAAGCUACUGAUGAUGGCUGGCACUGACAACUGCUACACCUCGACCAGGGACUGACUACCACCCUCGGCAACUUCACAAAGGUCACCUUUGAUGCCAUCUGUAAGACCUAUAGCUACUUACCCCAUGACCUCUGGAAAAAGACUGUAUUCAUCAAGUCUUCCCAUCAGGAAUUCACCAACCGUCUUGUCAAGACCCACACAAGAGUCUCUGUGCAGAGGACUCAGCCUACAGCUGUGGUAACAAUGUAG